AACGAACGCUGGCGGCAGGCUUAACACAUGCAAGUCGAGCGCCCCGCAAGGGGAGCGGCAGACGGGUGAGUAACACGUGGGAAUCUACCCAUCUCUACGGAACAACCCAGGGAAACUUGGACUAAUACCGUAUACGUCCUUCGGGAGAAAGAUUUAUCGGAGAUGGAUGAGCCCGCGUUGGAUUAGCUAGUUGGUGGGGUAAUGGCCUACCAAGGCGACGAUCCAUAGCUGGUCUGAGAGGAUGAUCAGCCACACUGGGACUGAGACACGGCCCAGACUCCUACGGGAGGCAGCAGUGGGGAAUAUUGGACAAUGGGCGAAAGCCUGAUCCAGCCAUGCCGCGUGAGUGAUGAAGGCCCUAGGGUUGUAAAGCUCUUUCACCGGUGAAGAUAAUGACGGUAACCGGAGAAGAAGCCCCGGCUAACUUCGUGCCAGCAGCCGCCGUAACAC
rnacentral:rRNA from 1 species